GCCUGGGUGGCUCAGUCGGUUGAACGUCCGACUGCAGCUCAGGUCAUGAUCUCAUGGUUCGUGGGUUCAAGCCCCACAUCGGGCU
rfam:Felis catus isolate Cinnamon breed Abyssinian chromosome E3, whole genome shotgun sequence.